GAUUUAGGUUAUGUUUGCAAAAAUAUAUAGCCUCUCUCUUCUUCAUGCUGAUUGAGUUCUGUGUGUGAAGUUUCUAGGGUUUUCUCAUAUGGUUCUCUUUCUGUAAUCUUGGCAGUUUUUCUUUGUAAAUCUUUUGAGUGUUUAUUUAGAUUGUUGUUUGGUAAAUGAUCUGUGAGAAAAAUUUGGUAAAUGAUCUGUGAGAAAAAUGUUGUAUAGAUUACUUUGUCUUUGUGAUUGAAAGAGAGGCAAGAGUAAUAUGAAAAAAUCUCUGAUUAUUUCAUACAUUUGUACUAUUUGUUGGUGAUUUCUUAGUGGAAUUGAGUGCAAUCUACUUGUAGAUGCUCAACUGGUGAGUACGUUUAAAGCUAAACAUCCGAGCCUUUGUGACGAAAAUCCUUUGUGUUCUCUUUAUUUUUCUACAAACUAUUAUUGUAAAAUCUUUGUGAAUAUGAUUCUAACACCAACAGAGCCUAAAAACUUGAUCUAUUACGAUUUAGGUUUUUUUCCCUGAAACCCUAAUUUAUGUUCUUUGUUGACUAAAAUUUUAAAGAGGAUUUUCAACUGUGUUUUUGGAAUAAAUAGUCUUCAAAAGUUUUUGUUAAAUCUCUAUUCAAUCCAAUCUUUGGUUGGAUUUUUUUUGAAAGAUUGGGUGUAUUUUUCAGACACUUGUGUUGGAUCUUUUCGAUCUUGAAAGUUUUUUAGGAAAACCCUUUGAUUUGUUCUGGAUAUGAAAACUUUUAGUGUUUACUGAAUCUUUUGGCUAUUUGACUCUUGACUCACCACUGAUUUGGUGUGGUAUUUUCAGCUCGUCCUGAGUGUUGGUGAGUUGGGUUGACUCAUUCGGAGUUUUGCUACUAUUCUUGACUAAUUGCUAAAUUGUACUGAGUCACUAUGACGUGUGGAGCAUUGACCAUAUCCUUGGACUUCUGAACUAGUUCUAAUAUUUUCUCACUACGAUCUCUUAUUGAACCUCAAAGGUUUCAACUCUAGUAUAAUCCUCCAUACUUUUAUCUUUUUGGUCAAACAAAUUAGAUUGUUCUUGUCUAAGUUUGAUUUGGUUAUUAAGGUAAUUGAUCUACCACUGCUUUCCUUUGUCCAAGAGUUCCUAUGAGAAUAUGGGAAUCUGAUGGAUUAGUAGAUAUAUUGGUUAUCACCCCUUAAACUUGUUAAAUUGACAAUUUAAUAUGCGUUGAUCAUUACAUUGUUAUAUAAUUUCUGAAUUGUUUGGAUUGAAUAAUUUGCCUCAUAAAUUGUGUAAAUUGCAUGAUAAGAAGAAUUUUUCUACAAUAUUCUACCUUAUUUUGAAAUUUGCAUUCUUUAUAAUCUCCUCAUACUGCUUAAAUCUGCUAUACACUGUGUAUUGUAUAAUCUUGACUUUGUGGGUUUAUCUAUUGUUAUGACAACUGCUCACAAAUUUGAAGUAGAAGUUUGGAAGGGGAUUGAAUAUUUUAAUCUCUGGUGUCAAAAGAUAAGGACUCUGUUGUUACAAUAGAGGUAUGCUACUGCCCUUGAUGGAACAUGGGGUACCGAAAUUAGUGCUUAUUGGAGACAAGAAUUAGAUGAGAUUGCUUGAAGUACAAUCUGCCUACAUUUGUCAGAUAGUGUGAUAAGAAAGAUAGGGAAAACCACAACUACUGUAGUCUUGUGGACUAAGUUAGGAUCCCUUUAUUUAACCAAGACAAUGCCUAGUAAAUGUUAUUUCCUUAGACAAUUCUCUAAUUUCAUAUUUAAUAACCCUUCCACCUCAGAAGAAAACGUUGAUAAAUUCACUAAAUUGAUUAAAAUAUAGCUAAUUGUGAUGGGGAGCUAUCUGAUGAUCAACAAGCUCUUGCUCUAUUGAAUGCUCUAGGUGAUAAAUAUAGGGAAUUUAAUAAUGUUUUAGAAUAUGGAAGAGAGGAUUUGACUGUUGAUAUUAUUAUCUUGAACUAAAAACUGAAGUCAAGGAUUCUAAAUUUGGAGGAGGGCUAAACAUUAAAGAGAAAUUGAAUCAGAAUAAAAAGAGAAAUCUGUGCAACUUAACUCCCUAAAAAGGGAAAAUUCCAAACCCCCAAAUUUAGAAAUCAAAAUAAGAGUUAAUUGAAAUCCAAGAAUCAAGUCAAAAAAUGUUAUUAUUGAGCUAAAACUAGACAUCUUAUAAAAGAUUGUUUCAAAAUGAUAUUUGAUAUAAAGGAAAAUCAAACACUGAUGAGUCUGCAACAAUAGUCUGCUAUAAUGAAUUUGAAGUACAAGGAGUUGUCAUUGUCACUUCAACAAAAAGAAGCCCAAAGGAGUUGGUUCUUGAUUCUGGUUGUUCCUUUCAUAUGUGUCCCAUUAAAGGAUGGAUCAUUGAAUUCAAUGAUCGAAAUGGUGGCCAAGUUCAAAUGGGAAAUGAUAUGACUUAUAAGAUAAAAGGCAUUGGUAAGAUUAACAUUGUGUUAGAAAAUAGUCAUGUUCUUGAGCUUUCUCUAACAAGAUAUGUUCCUGAUCUUCAGAGAAAUCUGAUUUCCUUAUGUGAAUUGGAUAAUGACUAUGAAAAUUAAAAUCCAUAAAGGAUUUACGAAAUUGUUCUAUAACUCUAAGGAAAUAAUUUCUUUACCUAAGGUUAAUGGAAUUUGCAUACUUCAAGCUGAACCAUUAGUUGAAACCUUGUCAGUUUCUGAUCGGUCUUCUGAUAAUAAAUCCUUAAUCUGGCAUAAGAGACUAGGGCAUGUUAGUGAAAAGGGAAUGAUCAUUCUUAACAAACUUGGAUGUUUUGGAAAGGAUAAUAUUAAGAGUUUGAAAUUCUGUGAAGAUUGUGUCAUUGGAAAGCAAAACAAGUUACCGUUUAAAAUUGGAAUUCAAAAAUCCACUUCAAUACUUGAUUAUUUACAUGCUGACCUUUGGGCCCAGCAUCAGUAAGUACUUUGAGUGUAUUUAGAUUCUAUCUCCUGAUUGUAUAUGAUUUCUCAAGAAAAAAUGGACAUUUCUUUUAAGAAAUACAUCUGACACCUUCCAAAAUUUCAAACAACGAAAAUUGAUGAUUGAAAAUGAAACUAAUAAGAAAAGCAAAGUACUCAAAAUAGAUAAUGGGCUUGAAUUUUGUAGCACUGAAUUUGAUUUAUUUCGUAAAGAAUUUGGUAUUUUAGGGCAUAGAACAAUAACAUACCCUCUUCAGCAAAAUGGUGUUGCUAAGAGAAUGAAUAAAAACUUACUUGAAAAGGUUAGGUAUAUAUUAUUAAGUUCUAGUCUUCCAAAAUUGUUUUGGGUGAAGCCUUACAGACUGUCAUGUAUAUGAUAAAUAGAAUACCUUCUAGUGCUAUUGAUUCUCAGACCCCUGGAUCACUAUGGUCUAGAAAGUUCCCAAAUUAUUCUAAACUUAAAAUCUUUGGAUGUGCUGACUACUCUCAACAAAAUGAAGGAGAACUUGAACCCAUUUUCUUAGGAUAUGGUAAGAGUCUAAGGGAUAGGCUUUGGGUGAAGGAAUAACAUGGGUUUAAAGUGAUCAUAAAUAGAAAUGUUAUUUUCAAUGAAGAUGUUCUUCCUUGUAAUGAUCCUGAAAACCGAAAAACAACAUGAUCCUGUUACUUCAAAAGAAACUGUUAUGGGGAGAGAUGAAGAAAAUUCCAUUGCACUAAAUGAUUUGAUUGAAGUGGAGACUACUCAAUCUGAAACAGAUCAUACUCAAGAUGAAUUUGAAAAUGAAAUUCAGACUAAUAUCUUUCCAGAUGAUUAGUUAAUCAGAGAUAGAGCUAGAAGAAAUAAGUUUCCUACCACCAAAAUUGAUUUGAUAAAUUUGUUACCUUCUAUUUUGAAAUAGAAUUUGUUAAUUUUGAAAGAACAGCCUUUGAAGAAGCUAUUAAUUGUAAAGAAUCUAAAUUUUAGAUGAAAUCCAUGAAAGAAAAAAUGGACUCCUUAAUCAGAAAUAAGACAUGGAUUUUGGUUAAUAAACCAAAGGAUCAAAAGAUUAUUUAUUGUAAGUGGGUCUACAAAGUGAAAGAGGAUGAACCCAUUGUUGAAGGUAAAAGAUAUAAGGUUAGAUUAGUGGCUAAGGGUUUUAAUAAAAAAGAAGGAAUAAAUUAUAAUGAAAUUCUUCUCACUUGUUGCUAAAUACACUUCUAUCAGAAUUUUACUUGCUCUUUCUACUCACUUCAACUGGGAAUUGGAUCAACUUGAUGUCAGAAUGACAUUCUUAAAUGGUGAGCGUAAUGAAACAAUUUAUAUGAAUCAACCAAAGGGUUUUGAGCUUAAUUUUAAAAUUGAAAGAGUUUGUCUUUUAAAGAAGUCACUUUAUGGUUUGAAACAAGCACUAAUGCGAUGGUAUAAAAAAGUUUAAUUCAUAUGUAAGCCUGUAUCUUUACCUAUUGCAAAUUAUUUUAAAUUGUCAAGUGAACAAUCCCUUAAAACUGAUGAAGAAUUUGAUAGGAUGAGAAAAAUACCUUAUGCAUAUGUUGUUGGCUCAAUUAUAUAUCUUAUGAUAUGUACUAGACCCGAUUUAGCUCAUGAUAUAAGAAUUUUGAGUAGAUUUAUGGCUAAUUCAGGUGAAACUCACUGAUUCACAGUAAAAUAGAUGUAUAGAUACUUAAAGGGUUAACUUGAUUUAGGCCUAAAAUUUCAAAGAUGUAAUGAAUGUGUGAUUUUGAAAGACUACAUUGAUUUUGAUUUUGCAGGUGAUCUACGGCAAAUUAAAUAAUUCCAGCCUGAUGAUAUCAAAUAUGAUUGGGCCGGUGGAACAAAAGUCUUUAGCUAAUAUCCCAAUUAAAGGAUUGUACUUUACAGUGCCCGGAAUACCACAGUGUCUUCAACUAACAAUUGUGAGUUAUGUGGAAAAGCUGAGAAUUGUCAUGUCUGUGGAGAAAGGUUUCAUCGAUCCAAAUAAGUUCAAGUCAUGCAUUGAAUAUGCCUUUGAGGCAAUUUCUAAAGCAGCACUAGAGUGAAUCUCAAACUAUAUUGUAGCCUUAAAAUAAUUUCUGAUUUGUUUUAAGUUCAUUUAGAAUUUGAUCGGAUACUAAUAUUUGGAUUGGAUUACUAAAUAAUUUAAGGUUGUAUCUUAUGAAUCUU